CAUGGAGGCAGUAGAAAGGAGGAGGAAGAGAAAAAGAUCCUUCUUGUGAGCUGGGGCAGACAGAUUCAACUAUGUCCUUCAAGGGAGUCUUCAUUUAGUCUCAGUUGAUAUGCACCGGGUGCUUGGCCCUCCAGCUACAGAAGUGCUGCCUCCUCCCUCUUGUCCUGGUGAGGCCAUGAAGACCAGAUUGCCAUCACAAGGAAAAAUUUGAGAUUAUCGAGUUGCUGCUCUGCUGAAAGCCAGGGGAAGACAUGCUUUUGCCUUUUUAUUAUGAAGGCCCAGAUGAAGAAUGUGCAGCAUCUCAGGCACUGCAGCUGAGCACAAGGAGCCUGUGCUUGAAGAUAAUUUUAUAAGCCACUGCUAUACCCGGGGGGGAUGAAGGAGGAGAGACUGGAAAUAACCUCUCAUCAGGGACUGUACUGGAACAGCAAAUGUCCUUCUUCUCAAGGACAUUAGGUCAGGGCUAUGGCAUUGCAACUGUGAUACACAGAGGGCACAUCUCAUCAUGGGAACAUCUGCAGUUUCUUAGUGCUAAAAAGACCAAAACAAAAAGGAAAAAAAAAAAAAAAAAAAA